ACACAUACAUUACACAAUAACUUGAGAAAGAGGGAAGAGGAAAUACAUUUUAUUCCUUGUCAGAAACUCCCCAGAUAAGGAGUGGCUACCGGUUCAACAUAAAAAGUCAUGUAUGAAAUGAGUACUGGACACUUCCAACAGGACCUGAAUACAUGAUGAGUAUGAUCAUGGCAUCUUUUCUCUCUGCAGCUCUGCUGUUGCUGGUUCCUGGAAUCCUGACUGAAAAGUCUUCCAUUGAGUUGGUGGUAGUCAACAGCAUCUCAAACACACCCAAUAAGACCUACAGUACUGAUGUCGCAUUCAGAGGGGUCCUUAUCGGUGCCAUGAGAAGACUGCAGGAGACCACUGCAGGAUUCAAUUUCACCUACACAGAGGACCGCAACUAUGGUCCCUUCCUGGUGAGUGUGAAUAAUGUAGCUGGGAACAAUAAUGAGAACAAUUUCUGGUGAGAUUCUUGUUCAAACUGGGGGUAAUGGUAAACCAACUACCAUCGACCUGAUGUGGGUAUUGGCUGUUACAUCCCUGAACCAAAUGACCGCAUCAUCCUAAAAUUUACUGUGUUCAUCCUGGGCUCGCACUCCGUGAGUGGCAACGGUCAGAAAUUCUGGGAAGGUGACAGAAUUUCACCUAUACAGAGGACCCCAACUAUGGCCCCUUCCUGGUGAAUGUGAAUGGUGUGGCUGGGAACAAUACUGAGAACUUUCUGGGAGAUCCUUGUAUAGACUGGGAGGAAUGGGACCACGAUCAGACCUGAUGUCGGUACUGGUUGUUACAUCCCAGAACGAAAUGAACACAUCAUCCUGAGAUUUACAAGGUUUACCCGGACAUCAUAGUAAAUACGCUGCAAAGGAAUGUGCUCCAUGUUCUUUCUUGCUGAAGACUAAGAAGAAUGAAGAUUGAAGAUGAGGAUGAAGAAAAUGAAAACACCUCUUUGAAGACAGUUAAACAGAUGUGGAACUGCUAGAAAUAACAGCGUAACUGACAUUGCCAUGACAAAGACCAAAGCCGGCGGGAGUACCGUUGAGGAUAGUGGUGUCUCUCUAUCACACGUGAGCUCGAUGAGUUGAAACAGGACAAUGCCAAGAUUACAGCAAACUGUAAGUCAUUGAAAGAGGACAUCAGUGCUGUGUUUGAAUCCAUGAUAACAAUGACGGAUAAAUCAUCUCAAGGGAUAAUCAAGGCGGAAUAAUGGUUGUGGACGGAAUUGCAAAAUCUCCAUGAGACCUGGACAGAGGCUGAGGACAAAGUGAGCGAAAUGAUCUCUGAUAAAUUGAAGAUGGACCACAGGAAGAUUGAGGUGGAGCGUGCCCAUUGGACUGAAAAACCCACCACUGGCCCGGGUGACAAGCCCAGGCCAAUAGUGGUCAAGUUCCUGAGGUUCAAGGACAAGGUAGCUGUUCUGGAGAGAGCCAAGAACUUGAAAGGGAAGUAUAUCAUCCUCAACGAGGACUAUCCUGAAGCUGUGUACCAGAAGAGGAAAGAAUCCCAGCCAUGAAAGCAGCCAGAGCGUGUGGGGACAUUGCUUACAUCCGCUAUGACAGGCUCAUUGUCCACCCUCCCUCCCAGAAGCCUGGAAGGGAUGAGAGAGCAAAGCCUAUGGGUUCGGAGCUUCAACCCUGCAGCACACACACACACCAAUUUUUUGGACUGCUGAAUGUAAAAAUAAAUAUCUUGCUUUGUUUGUUCUUUUCCAUUUUAUGUCUAUAUCUGAUGUCGUGACGUUGUUAUCGUUAAUGUGAUGACGUGCUAUUUAUUGAUUAAAUUAAUACAGUAACCCUUAACUCAGUAACCUGGGGCACCACAGAAAAAGUUUGAUGAAUUACCAUUUCCCGAAUUGACUCAAAGAAUAUCAGAAUAUCGAUUUCACAGCAGUCACUAAUUAAUUCAUUUCAUCAUCAGUCUCAUUCUGAACGUCGCAUAAUUCAUAAAUCUGCACAAACCCGGGACUAGGUAAAUCAUUCUGUACCACACCAAUUGAGUUUAUUAUUUAUUUACUAACAAGAUAAAUGAUAAUAUAAGAUACACAUACACAAACAGUCUAGGUUUUUGAUUAGAACUUAAUACAAUGGCAGCAGGUCCCUAGCGGACUAACACAAUAUGACAUGUGUUACACAAGAUGGAGAUUUAAAGAAAGAGAGAGAAAGAGAGAGAAAGUGCAUGAGAGAAA